GCCGGGGUGGCGGAAUUGGUAGACGCAGUGGAUUCAAAAUCCACCGAGCUAACCCUCGUGUCGGUUCGAGUCCGACCCUCGGCA
rnacentral:tRNA from 1 species